UACGUAGGGUGCGAGCGUUGUCCGGAAUUAUUGGGCGUAAAGAGCUCGUAGGCGGUCUGUCACGUCUGCUGUGAAAUCCCGAGGCUCAACCUCGGGCUUGCAGUGGGUACGGGCAGACUAGAGUGCGGUAGGGGAGAAUGGAAUUCCUGGUGUAGCGGUGGAAUGCGCAGAUAUCAGGAGGAACACCAAUGGCGAAGGCAGUUCUCUGGGCCGUAACUGACGCUGAGGAGCGAAAGCGUGGGGAGCAAACAGG
rnacentral:rRNA from 1 species